rnacentral:rRNA from 1 species
CGAGCGUUGUCCGGAAUUAUUGGGCGUAAAGGGCUCGUAGGUGGUUUGUCGCGUCGUCUGUGAAAUUCCGGGGCUUAACUCCGGGCGUGCAGGCGAUACGGGCAUAACUUGAGUACUGUAGGGGUAACUGGAAUUCCUGGUGUAGCGGUGAAAUGCGCAGAUAUCAGGAGGAACACCGAUGGCGAAGGCAGGUCUCUGGGCAGUAACUGACGCUGAGGAGCGAAA